AGUCGACAUAGCAAUAUGUGGCAUACGGCUCAGUAACAGGUAGUCAACAUGCCCAGGGGACGUGGAUAACCUCGGGAAACUGAGGAUAAACCACGAUAGGUCAUCACUUCUGGAAUGGGUAAUGACUUAAAUCUAUAUGGCCCCUGGAUUGGACUGCGGCCGAUCAGGCUGUUGGUGAGGUAAUGGCCCACCAAACCUGUAACCGGUACGGGCUCUGAGAGGAGGAGCCCGGAGAUGGGCACUGAGACAAGGGCCCAGGCCCUAUGGGGCGCAGCAGGCGCGAAACCUCUGCAAUAGGCGAAAGCUUGACAGGGUUACUCUGAGUGAUUUCCGUUAAGGAGAUCUUUUGGCACCUCUAAAAAUGGUGCAGAAUAAGGGGUGGGCAAGUCUGGUGUCAGCCGCCGCGGUAAUACCAGCACCCCGAGUGGUCGGGACGUUUAUUGGGCCUAAAGCAUCCGUAGCCGGUUCUACAAGUCUUCCGUUAAAUCCACCUGCUUAACAGAUGGGCUGCGGAAGAUACUAUAGAGCUAGGAGGCGGGAGAGGCAAGCGGUACUCGAUGGGUAGGGGUAAAAUCCGUUGAUCCAUUGAAGACCACCAGUGGCGAAGGCGGCUUGCCAGAACGCGCUCGACGGUGAGGGAUGAAAGCUGGGGGAGCAAACCGGAUUAGAUACCCGGGUAGUCCCAGCUGUAAACGAUGCAGACUCGGUGAUGAGUUGGCUUAUUGCUAACUCAGUGCCGCAGGGAAGCCGUUAAGUUUGCCGCCUGGGGAGUACGGUCGCAAGACUGAAACUUAAAGGAAUUGGCGGGGGAGCACCACAAGGGGUGAAGCCUGCGGUUCAAUUGGAUUCAACGCCGGG
rnacentral:rRNA from 1 species